rnacentral:rRNA from 1 species
AACGAACGCUGGCGGCAUGCCUAACACAUGCAAGUCGAACGAGACCUCCGGGUCUAGUGGCGCACGGGUGCGUACCGCGGGGUAACCUGCCCUUAGGUUCGGAAUAACUCCCCGAAAGGUGUGCUAAUACCGGAUAAUGUCAUCGGACCAAAGAUCUAUCGCCUUUGGAUGGGCCCGCGUUGGAUUAGGUAGUUGGUAGGGUAAAAGCCUACCAAGGCGACGAUCCAUAGCUGGUCGGAGAGGAUGAUAAGCCACACUGGCACUGCGACACGGCCCAGACUCGUACGGGAGGCAGCAGUGGGUAAUAUUGGAGGAUGGGCGAAAGCCUAGUCAAGCAACGCGGCGUGAGUGAUGAAGGCCUUAGGGUUGUAAAGCUCUUUUAGCCGGGAUGAUAAUGACAGUACCGGGAGAAUAAGCUCCGGCUAACUCCGUG